AGAACGCGCUGUGACUGACGGAGCUUCGUGGGACACCACGGUGGAGCAGCGCAGACAUGACCUGCCGACCGUCUGGGCACGCAUC
rnacentral:ncRNA from 2 species